rnacentral:tRNA from 4 species
GGACCCGUAGCUCAGCCAGGAUAGAGCGCCGGCCUGCGGAGCCGGCGAUCCCGGGUUCAAAUCCCGGCGGGUCCG